CGUAGGUGACCUGCGGAAGGAUCAUUACCGAGUGAGGGCCCUCUGGGUCCAACCUCCCACCCGUGUCUAUCGUACCUUGUUGCUUCGGCGGGCCCGCCGUUUCGACGGCCGCCGGGGAGGCCUUGCGCCCCCGGGCCCGCGCCCGCCGAAGACCCCAACAUGAACGCUGUUCUGAAAGUAUGCAGUCUGAGUUGAUUAUCGUAAUCAGUUAAAACUUUCAACAACGGAUCUCUUGGUUCCGGCAUCGAUGAAGAACGCAGCGAAAUGCGAUAAGUAAUGUGAAUUGCAGAAUUCAGUGAAUCAUCGAGUCUUUGAACGCACAUUGCGCCCCCUGGUAUUCCGGGGGGCAUGCCUGUCCGAGCGUCAUUGCUGCCCUCAAGCACGGCUUGUGUGUUGGGCCCCCGUCCCCCUCUCCCGGGGGACGGGCCCGAAAGGCAGCGGCGGCACCGCGUCCGGUCCUCGAGCGUAUGGGGCUUUGUCACCUGCUCUGUAGGCCCGGCCGGCGCCAGCCGACACCCAACUUUAUUUUUCUAAGGUUGACCUCGGAUCAGGUAGGGAUACCCGCUGAACUUAAGCAUAUCAUG
rnacentral:rRNA from 1 species